UACGAAGGGGGCUAGCGUUGUUCGGAAUCACUGGGCGUAAAGGGCGCGUAGGCGGCCUGAUAAGUCGGGGGUGAAAGCCUGUGGCUCAACCACAGAAUUGCCUUCGAUACUGUCGGGCUUGAGACCGGAAGAGGUAAGUGGAACUGCGAGUGUAGAGGUGAAAUUCGUAGAUAUUCGCAAGAACACCUGAGGUGAAGACGGGUUGCUGGGCUGACACUGACGCUGAGGCGCGACAGCGUGGGGAGCAAACAGG
rnacentral:rRNA from 1 species